AGUGAACGCUGGCGGUAGGCCUAACACAUGCAAGUCGAACGGCAGCACAGUAAGAGCUUGCUCUUACGGGUGGCGAGUGGCGGACGGGUGAGGAAUACAUCGGAAUCUACUUUUUCGUGGGGGAUAACGUAGGGAAACUUACGCUAAUACCGCAUACGACCUACGGGUGAAAGCAGGGGAUCUUCGGACCUUGCGCGAUUGAAUGAGCCGAUGUCGGCUUAGCUAGGUGGCGGGGUAAAGGCCCACCAAGGCGACGAUCCGUAGCUGGUCUGAGAGGAUGAUCAGCCACACUGGAACUGAGACACGGUCCAGACUCCUACGGGAGGCAGCAGUGGGGAAUAUUGGACAAUGGGCGCAAGCCUGAUCCAGCCAUACCGCGUGGGUGAAGAAGGCCUUCGGGUUGUAAAGCCCUUUUGUUGGGAAAGAAAAGCAGCAGGUUAAUACCCCGCUGUUCUGACGGUACCCAAAGAAUGAGCACCGGCUAACUUCGUG
rnacentral:rRNA from 1 species